GGCUCACGGUUUAAUAAAACAUACACAAACCCGAGCGUGGAUUGGGACUGAAAAUGGUGAAGGUGUAGAUGUUUCCUGCUCCUGGCGGUCAAAGGUCCAUUUUCCCUUUUUUAGUGGGUAAAGGUGACAGACAGUCUAGGAGGCUGGGGAUGGUAUUUUUGCCUUUUAUGGAGUCCAUCCUUCCAAACCGUCGUAGUGGGUCCAACUUCAUCUCCAUCCAUGGUUGCCGCUGAAUUCAAAAGCAUCUCUAGUGAGCAGGAGGCACCAGUUAUGCCGAAAUCUUAUCCCCUGGAAAAUGGAGCAGGUGUUUUCCAGCGAAGCUGCUGGGCUGCCUGUGCGAGCCGCCGCCAGCGCCAGCUGAAGAGGAGCCUGAUCUCAGAGCUAAGCGGGGUUGCUCCUGUCGUGGUGCAGGACGAUGUUUGAACGUGUCCAAGGGGAAGCUGAAAAGGCUGCCUUUAUCUUCCCAUGGUGGGAGGCAGAGCAGGUUUUAACGAAAAGCAGGUGAAAAAGAGUUGGUUUAUUCUUUUUCUGAAUCCCAGUGGUAGCCAACCAAUGGCUCCCUUUCCGGGCAUGGUGGAGACUGGUGUUUUCAGCAGGGAUGGCCCUGUUUGACUGGUGUGGCUGGACCUGCAGUGGCUGUCGGCAUCAGCAGGGGGUACCGUACCCGUGUCUCACACAGCACGGCUUCCCUGGGCUGAGGCUGUGGGGCGGCUGUAGUCAGACUGUAACACAGCACCAGUAAGCGCUGGCGUUUUACUGGAAGAAACCGAGUUUUGCUAAAUAAACUGGGAAGGAUGAAGAGCUACGAUGUCAGGAAGAGCCGCUGCAGAGCAGUUAACGAAGCAAGCCGAGACCAAUAGCCAGCGCUGGCUGACUUCCCCAUGCAGUAGCAGGGACAGCAUCUCGGAGCGCGGCAGCCGAGGGAUUAUUAAGUUUCAACAAAACAAACCCAAAGGACAUGAGAAGCCGGUGAAUAUAGUCUGUGUUCUGAUGGCCAAAAAUCAGAGUUUGAAAGAAGCCUGGUGUACCUGAAACAAUUGAAGGCGCAACCAGGCAAGAGCCUGCAAUUCUGCUGUGCAUGAAUAGAAGGAAGAAGCAGCUGAAUAUCAGGAAACGUUUUCUAACAAUGCGGACUAUUAGGCUUCGGUGGAGACUCCCGAGGGAAGUGGUAAAAGCCCACAUGGGCUGAAUAAUAGAAAACUAGACAAAACCAUAGAGUUACAUGUGCUGGAAAGAAAUCCUUCAGCAGAGUGAUUCACAAUUCACAAUGCCUAGUGAACAUAACGUUGCUAUUCUUAAUAACAUCCUUAAGAUGCAUUUUUUGAUACACAGAUUUAGAAGCGUUCUUGCAAACAAGGAGGCUGCAAGCUGUCCAUGCAGGUCCUCUCCCUGCGAGGUGGGAGGUAGAGAAAGGGGAGAGGGGACAUGCUGCCCAUCACAGCCCCGCGUUGCCUCGGCCAUCCCUUGCCCUAGGAGGAAGCCCGUUUUCUGCAUUUUCGUAAGAAAUCUGAAUUAGCCCAGGUCCCGCUCCCUCUAGAGGGCAGCUGCUACCCUUAUAACCGCAUGGGAGAGUGAUCUCCCCCACCAGCGUGUCCUGGUUCCCACUUUGCGUGCAGUGAGUUUUCGGGGCUUGCAGGAUCUGGGCUGUGCCGCAGACCGCAGGGUGAUGCCGGAUGAUUCACAGCUCCGUCGGGCUCCCCCCCUCCUUCGGCGCCAGCCUCCAUGGCUGUAUCACCGGUACAGAAUGGAAACAGAGCUAAAUUAGUAAAAUUCAUCCCACUCUGUCUUCACCGUCCUGGGAUCCUCCUGUGGUAUCGCAACAUAGGACAGCAUAGCUGUUAUCAGAGGAUUUAUUGAAAGAAAUAUGCUAGAAUGGAAGAAAAAUGAAAUAUUUCUAAUUUUCAUUAGCAUUCAAGCCAUUGCAGUACCUAGGAGUUGGUAUAGUCUGCGGUUCCCCCGCAGCUUCUCAGUGAAUAACCCUUUUUGUACUCAGCCCUGGUGAGGCUGCGCCUCGAAUGCUGGGCUCAGGUUUGGGCCCCUCGGGACAAGAAGGGCCUGGAGGGGCUGGAGCGUGUCCAGAGAAGGGCAGCGGGGCUGGGGCAGGGU